GACAGAGGCCCCAAGCGUUAGGCGGAAUCACUUGGGCUUAAAGCGUGUGUAGGCGGAUCGUUAAGUGUCUUGUGAAAUCCCACGGCUCACCCGUGGAACUGCUGGGCAUACUGGCGAUCUUGGGCCAACUAGGGGCAGCCGGAACAAGCGGUGGAGCGGUGAAAUGCGUAGAUAAUCGCUUGGAACGCCGAAGGUGAAAACAGGCUGCUGGGGUUGUGCCGACGCUGAGACACGAAAGCCAGGGGAGGCAAACGGG
rnacentral:rRNA from 1 species